rnacentral:rRNA from 1 species
GUGGGGAAUCUUGGACAAUGGGGGCAACCCUGAUCCAGCGACGCCGCGUGUGUGAAGAAGGCCUUCGGGUUGUAAACCGCUUUCAGGAGGGACGAAGCCACUCGGGUUAAUAGCCCAGAGGGUGACGGUACCUCCAGAAGACGCCCCGGCUAACUACGUGCCAGCAGCCGCGGUAAUACGUAGGGGGCAAGCGUUGUCCGGAUUCAUUGGGCGUAAAGAGCGGGUGGGCGGUCAGGUAGGUCGGUUGUGAAAACUGGAGGCUCAACCUUCAGAGUUCGACCGAAACCCCCUGGCUAGAGUCCGGGAGAGGAGAGUGGAAUUCCUGGUGUAGCGGUGAAAUGCGCAGAUAUCAGGAAGAACACCCGUGGCGAAAGCGGCUCUCUGGAACGGUACUGACGCUGAGACGCGAAAGCGUGGGGAGCGAA